rnacentral:rRNA from 1 species
ACGGAGGGUGCAAGCGUUAAUCGGAAUUACUGGGCGUAAAGCGCGCGUAGGCGGUUUGAUAAGCAGGAUGUGAAAGCCCUGGGCUUAACCUAGGAAUGGCAUUCUGAACUGUCUGACUGGAGUAUGGUAGAGGGUAGUGGAAUUUCCUGUGUAGCGGUGAAAUGCGUAGAUAUAGGAAGGAACACCAGUGGCGAAGGCGACUACCUGGACCAAUACUGACGCUGAGGUGCGAAAGCGUGGGGAGCAAACAGG